rnacentral:rRNA from 1 species
UACGGGGGGAGCAAGCGUUGUUCGGAUUUACUGGGCGUAAAGAGCGCGCAGGCGGUCGUUCAAGUCGAGUGUGAAAGCCCCCGGCUUACAGGGUGGAGGGUCAUCGAUACUGUCGACUCGAAGGCAGGAGAGGGAAGUGGAAUUCCCGGUGUAGUGGUGAAAUGCGUAGAUAUCGGGAGGAACACCAGUGGCGAAGGCGACUUCCUGGCCUGUUCUUGACGCUGAGGCGCGAAAGCUAGGGGAGCAAACGGG